GGUGGUUCUCAGGUGACACACCCCAGAAUCGGGCUCCCUCCUCUCUGGUUCCAGGUGACUCACCUGAGAACCACA
rfam:Myotis brandtii contig315452, whole genome shotgun sequence.